AUGAACGCUAGCUACAGGCUUAACACAUGCAAGUCGAGGGGCAGCAUUUUAGUUUGCUUGCAAACUGAAGAUGGCGACCGGCGCACGGGUGAGUAACACGUAUCCAACCUGCCGAUAACUCCGGAAUAGCCUUUCGAAAGAAAGAUUAAUACCGGAUGGCAUACGAAUAUCGCAUGAUAUUUUUAUUAAAGAAUUUCGGUUAUCGAUGGGGAUGCGUUCCAUUAGUUUGUUGGCGGGGUAACGGCCCACCAAGACUACGAUGGAUAGGGGUUCUGAGAGGAAGGUCCCCCACAUUGGAACUGAGACACGGUCCAAACUCCUACGGGAGGCAGCAGUGAGGAAUAUUGGUCAAUGGGCGCGAGCCUGAACCAGCCAAGUAGCGUGAAGGAUGAAGGCUCUAUGGGUCGUAAACUUCUUUUAUAUGGGAAUAAAGUUUUCCACGUGUGGAAUUUUGUAUGUACCAUAUGAAUAAGGAUCGGCUAACUCCGUGCCAGCAGCCGCGGUAAUACGGAGGAUCCGAGCGUUAUCCGGAUUUAUUGGGUUUAAAGGGAGCGUAGGUGGAUUGUUAAGUCAGUUGUGAAAGUUUGCGGCUCAACCGUAAAAUUGCAGUUGAAACUGGCAGUCUUGAGUACAGUAGAGGUGGGCGGAAUUCGUGGUGUAGCGGUGAAAUGCUUAGAUAUCACGAAGAACUCCGAUUGCGAAGGCAGCUCACUAGACUGUCACUGACACUGAUGCUCGAAAGUGUGGGUAUCAAACAGGAUUAGAUACCCUGGUAGUCCACACAGUAAACGAUGAAUACUCGCUGUUUGCGAUAUACAGUAAGCGGCCAAGCGAAAGCAUUAAGUAUUCCACCUGGGGAGUACGCCGGCAACGGUGAAACUCAAAGGAAUUGACGGGGGCCCGCACAAGCGGAGGAACAUGUGGUUUAAUUCGAUGAUACGCGAGGAACCUUACCCGGGCUUAAAUUGCAACAGAAUAUAUUGGAAACAGUAUAGCCGUAAGGCUGUUGUGAAGGUGCUGCAUGGUUGUCGUCAGCUCGUGCCGUGAGGUGUCGGCUUAAGUGCCAUAACGAGCGCAACCCUUAUCUUUAGUUACUAACAGGUCAUGCUGAGGACUCUAGAGAGACUGCCGUCGUAAGAUGUGAGGAAGGUGGGGAUGACGUCAAAUCAGCACGGCCCUUACGUCCGGGGCUACACACGUGUUACAAUGGGGGGUACAGAAGGCGGCUACCUGGUGACAGGAUGCUAAUCCCAAAAACCUCUCUAAGUUCGGAUCGAAGUCUGCAACCCGACUUCGUGAAGCUGGAUUCGCUAGUAAUCGCGCAUCAGCCACGGCGCGGUGAAUACGUUCCCGGGCCUUGUACACACCGCCCGUCACACCAUGAGAGUUGGGAAUACCCGAAGCCUGUGAGCCAACUGUAAAGAGGCAGCAGUCGAAGGUAGAAUCAAUGAUUGGGGUG
rnacentral:rRNA from 1 species